CAGCAGUGAGGAAUAUUGGUCAAUGGGCGUAAGCCUGCANCCAGCCAAGUAGCGUGCAGGAUGACGGCCCUAUGGGUUGUAAACUGCUUUUAUGCGGGGAUAAAGUCACCUACGUGUAGGUGUUUGUAGGUACCGCAUGAAUAAGGACCGGCUAAUUCCGUGCCAGCAGCCGCGGUAAU
rnacentral:rRNA from 1 species